rnacentral:rRNA from 1 species
UACGGGGGGGGGCAAGCGUUGUUCGGAAUUACUGGGCGUAAAGGGCUCGUAGGCGGCCAACUAAGUCAGACGUGAAAUCCCUCGGCCUAACCGGGGGAACUGCGUCUGAUACUGGAUGGCUCGAGAUUGGGAGAGGGAUGCGGAAUUCCAGGUGUAGCGGUGAAAUGCGUAGAUAUCUGGAGGAACACCGGUGGCGAAGGCGGCAUCCUGGACCAACACUGACGCUGAGGAGCGAAAGCCAGGGGAGCAAACGGG